rnacentral:pre_miRNA from 1 species
UGUUGCUUAUCCCCGGGAGUUCCCUCAAACACUUUGUUAUAUAACUCAAUCUCUCUGAUACAAGGGAGGUAGUAUUCUACUGAAGUGUUUGGGGGAACUCUGGAUGGUAAU